UUUUAAAGCGCCCAUAUUAUGCUCAUUUUCAGGUUCAUAAUUGCAUUUAGAGGUUACAUCAGAUAAGGUUUACAUGGUUUUAUUUU